CCAAAGAAUGCCAAGUGCACACAUCUCACUAGUCUAUCUCUUGAUGGACAGCCUCCCUCAGUCUCACUCUCUGUCAGGCAUCAUUCAUUUCUCCAGCCAGGAAACAGCAGAUUCCUACUAUGCUAACCCUGGCUUGACUCACAGCUGUAUAUUACCUCCAAUCUGAAACUAACUCAGAAGGAGGUUAUGGGACUCACAGUGUUCCCAAUGGGGUUGUAUAAGCAAGAACCAGUUCCUAAGGGAGAGAUGACUCCCUGGUAGCACUGCCUGCAAGCAGUAUAGCAAACUCCAGGGAUUCAACUCCUCCAAGUCAUCCCCCAUAUUGGGUUGCUUUGUUAGUAACUCAGCUAGCUGACUAUGUCAACCAUAAUCCGAAAAGCUCAAUAAUAAUUUCUCUCCCAUUCACUGGGCUUGAAAUCACUUCAGAGACAAAAUGUUGGUUGUUUUGGGGAGUUUGAGAGAAGCUAAAAAAAAAAAAAAAAAAAUGGAUCAAAGUCACCCAGAUUGAAAUAGCUCCAAAUGUUGGCCCAGCUAAGGUGGAAAAUGAGAGGAACACUUUUUAAUCUCCCUAUGUCCUGACAAAAGAUGAAAUGUGACAGGCUACUUUCAACUCUGAACCCUGCAUUCCACUCCUACCUAGCUCCCUCUCCCCCUCCUGCCUCCCUCUUCCCACUAGUUGUCUUCUUAAUCACUUGCUUCCCGCUCCUCCCACCUAUCUCACUGUCCUACCCAUCCUGUCUCCCACUUCCAUCACUGCCUUUCUCACCAUGAUGGACUUCCAACAAAACAUGGGCCAAGAUAAAUCUUUCUUUCCCAUAACCCUAAAAUAUUUUUAUUGGGUAUUUAUUCGCAGCAACAAAGCAAUACUUGGGUGGAGCCAUCUCUUAUCUCUCAACAUGCUCUAUCUGGAAGGAACAGAAGUUCCUUUCCAUCUCCCCAGGAUACAUUUAAC
rnacentral:lncRNA from 1 species